CCAGAGGCAGCGGUUCUCAAGGCGAGCGGGAUUCCAGGGAGCCAAGCCCCAGCUUUGGGCAGAAGUUGGCAUCUCCAAGUCACGGCACUGGCCACACCAUCCCUAAUUGGAGUCCAGAGUCCCCCACUGGCCCGCCCCACUCCGGCUGGAACCCUUGUCCUUUCUCCGCGUCCCCACAAGUGGUUAAGUCCCUCCUCGGGCCCCUUCACGGUCUGCACCACCCCAGCCGCUUCCCUCCAGACCCACCCUGCAACGUCCCCGCACCCUGUGCCCAGAGCAGGGCCUGCGGCAGGAUCAGCAAAGGCGACCAGGAGAAUGGACCAGGUAUGUGCCCCCCCACCUGCCGGUGACCCCCUAAGGAGAGCACAGUUCACAGGUAAUGCUGGUGGGGGGAGAGCCCACACCUUCAAGCACCUGCUCUGUGCCACGCACAUGCCCAGCCUUUGAUUCCUGUGGUCUCAGGUAAGCUCAUCAACAACCCAGCCCGGCAGGUGUUCCUGCCCCCACUUAAAGGAUGAGGAAAUGUUCUCAGAGGAGUGAAGUCAUUUUCCUAGGGUCACACAGCCAGCAAAGGGAGGAGACAGCAGCAGGUUUGUCCUCUCUCACGAUGCUGUCUGUGCCCUGAGAAGGUCCCAUGAGGGCUGGAGGGAGGGGACAAUCAGGGAAAAUGUUGAAGCCACUCCCCAAGGCUGUCGAGGUGGCCCCUCGGGAGGGGCAGUUGAGGCCUGAGGCAGGAUGUGGGGUACUGAGGCAGAAAAGCCGUGGCUCCCUUUCCACCCCACCCCACCCCCUCCCGGAACCUUGCGGGGGCCUUCAGUGAGGUCAGCAGAGGCCCAGACGAGAGCACC